UACGGAAGGCAGCAGUGGGGAAUAUUGCACAAUGGGCGCAAGCCUGAUGCAGCCAUGCCGCGUGUAUGAAGAAGGCCUUCGGGUUGUAAAGUACUUUCAGUCGUGAGGAAGGUGUUAAGGUUAAUAACCUUAGCAAUUGACGUUAGCGACAGAAGAAGCACCGGCUAACUCCGUGCCAGCAGCCGCGGUAAUACGGAGGGUGCGAGCGUUAAUCGGAAUUACUGGGCGUAAGGGCACGCAGGCGGUUAAUUAAGUUGGAUGUGAAAUCCCCGGGCUUAACCUGGGAAUGGCAUUCAAGACUGGUUAGCUAGAGUCUUGUAGAGGGGGUAGAAUUCCAUGUGUAGCGGUGAAAUGCGUAGAGAUGUGGAGGAAUACCGGGUGGCGAAGGCGGCCCCUGGGACAAAGACUGACGCUCAUGUGCGAAAGCGUGGGGAGCAAACGAGGAUUAGAUACC
rnacentral:rRNA from 1 species